UGGGGAAUUUUGGACAAUGGGCGAAAGCCUGAUCCAGCAAUGCCGCGUGUGUGAAGAAGGCCUUCGGGUUGUAAAGCACUUUUGUCCGGAAAGAAAUCCUUGGCUCUAAUACAGUCGGGGGAUGACGGUACCGGAAGAAUAAGCACCGGCUAACUACGUGCCAGCAGCCGCGGUAAUACGUAGGGUGCAAGCGUUAAUCGGAAUUACUGGGCGUAAAGCGUGCGCAGGCGGUUUGCUAAGACCGAUGUGAAAUCCCCGGGCUCAACCUGGGAACUGCAUUGGUGACUGGCAGGCUAGAGUAUGGCAGAGGGGGGUAGAAUUCCACGUGUAGCAGUGAAAUGCGUAGGAGAUGUGGAGGAAUACCGAUGGCGAAGGCAGCCCCCUGGGCCAAUACUGACGCUCAUGCACGAAAGCGUGGGGAGCAAACAGGAUUAGAUACCCUGGUAGUCCACGCCCUAAACGAUGUCAACUAGUUGUUGGGGAUUCAUUUCCUUAGUAACGUAGCUAACGCGUGAAGUUGACCGCCU
rnacentral:rRNA from 1 species